GACGUAGGGCGCGAGCGUUGUCCGGAUUUAUUGGGCGUAAAGAGCUCGUAGGCGGCUUGUCGCGUCGACUGUGAAAUCCCGCGGCUCAACUGCGGGUCUGCAGUCGAUACGGGCAGGCGUAGAGUUCGGUAGGGGAGACUGGAAUUCCUGGUGUAGCGGUGAAAUGUGCAGAUAUCAGGAGGAACACCGGUGGCGAAGGCGGGUCUCUGGGGCCGAUACUGAC
rnacentral:rRNA from 1 species